UCUUCCAUGGCCAUCCACCAUUGAUUCUUCUUCUAGCUUCAAAUUUCCUAUGAUUUCUACCAUAAAACCCCAUAGCCCCUUCACUAAAACUUAAUCUUUCAUCUUGGUAAAGAGACUAGUUGCAACAAGAAGGGAAGAAAUUGAAGCUUAGGCAAGGUCAAACUUGGGUCAAACAAGUAGAAAAAGAGAUUGGGACGGACAAGGAGAAGUAAAUAAAGAGAAAGGAGAUCAUUGAAGGUAAGGGAAAGGAGAAAGCUGCUGAGUGAGAUACUUGGUAGCAGCUUUUGUAUUAACUUUGGGUAUUUACAUUAGGUAUACCCCUGUAAUUCCUUUGAUGCAUUUUUUAGUUAUAUGUAUGAUAUACGAACAUUGAGCAAUUUGUAUUAAAAAGCAUUAUAUUGCUAAAGCAUU